UCACCAAGUGAAGUGAUGCAGCAACUUUCAACAGAGGAGCUUUUGAAGUCUGAGAAACACGUGUGCAGGAUGGAAUAAUCUUUGUGAAAGAGGAGGCACAGCUAUCCAGAGAAUAUGAGCAGAAUAAGUGCUAACAACGAAAGUACCUGGGAUCUAAUGGCUAUAUCAUUCAUGGAGAUGAGGCGAACAAAGGAAUGAGGAGGAGUUUGGAAGAGUUGUACAGUCCACAGAACUUGCAAGUUGCAAUAACUAUCUAUGACAGGUGAGCGUCAGUGUAUUAGACAAGGUAUUUUAGCGCCCAU